rnacentral:rRNA from 1 species
GACAGAGGGUGCAAACGUUGUCCGGAAUUACUGGGCGUAAAGCGCGUGUAGGCGGCCCUGCAAGUCGGAUGUGAAAUCCCACGGCUCAACCGUGGAAGUGCAUUCGAAACUGCAGGGCUAGAGUCCUGGAGAGGAAGGUGGAAUGCUUGGUGUAGAGGUGAAAUUCGUAGAUAUCAAGCGGAACACCGGUGGCGAAGGCGGCCUUCUGGACAGUGACUGACGCUGAGACGCGAAAGCGUGGGGAGCAAACAGGG